AAAUGCAAAAAAAAAGACAAAAAAAAGAAAGUAUCAUUACAUUCCAAAUUCCUUUUAUCAAGUCCUUCUCUUCUCUUAAAAAGGUAGGACCUGGUUAUCCUGCACGGAGGCCUGUGCUAGAUGGUGUGGGAUGCAGAAGAGGCAGAGGCCUUGCCCACAAAAGUGAAGCCUCCAUCUGGACAGAUGUGUAGUUUGGAGCUCGUGAUCACCCGGAGGCGGGCAGUCAGUGAUCCCAGGCGAGGGGCUGAUGAAGAGUGUGAGCGAGCACUGAGCUGGGGGGAGAAAGUGGCCACACGUCUAGCAACCCGAGGACGUGAAGAAUGACUCCCGAGCAGUGAGAAAUGAC
rnacentral:lncRNA from 9 species